rnacentral:rRNA from 1 species
UACGUAGGGCGCAAGCGUUGUCCGGAAUUAUUGGGCGUAAAGAGCUCGUAGGCGGCUUGUCACGUCGGAUGUGAAAACCCAGGGCUCAACCCUGGGCCUGCAUUCGAUACGGGCAGACUAGAGUUCGGUAGGGGAGACUGGAAUUCCUGGUGUAGCGGUGAAAUGCGCAGAUAUCAGGAGGAACACCGGUGGCGAAGGCGGGUCUCUGGGCCGAAACUGACGCUGAGGAGCGAAAGCGUGGGGAGCAAACAGG